GUGCUCGCUUCGGCAGCACAUAUACUAAAAUUGGAACGAUACAGAGAAGAUUAGCAUGGCCGCUGCGCAAGGAUGACACGAAAAUAAUAUGCAUCAUUGACUUAUUUU